CCUUGAUCCUGGCUCAGGACGAACGCUGGCGGCGUGCCUAAUACAUGCAAGUCGAGCGGACAGAAGGGAGCUUGCUCCCGGAUGUUAGCGGCGGACGGGUGAGUAACACGUGGGUAACCUGCCUGUAAGACUGGGAUAACUCCGGGAAACCGGAGCUAAUACCGGAUAGUUCCUUGAACCGCAUGGUUCAAGGAUGAAAGACGGUUUCGGCUGUCACUUACAGAUGGACCCGCGGCGCAUUAGCUAGUUGGUGAGGUAACGGCUCACCAAGGCGACGAUGCGUAGCUUUCCUGAGAGGGUGAUCCGCCACACUGGGACUGAGACACGGCCCAGACUCCUACGGGAGGCAGCAGUAGGGAAUCUUCCGCAAUGGACGAAAGUCUGACGGAGCAACGCCGCGUGAGUGAUGAAGGUUUUCGGAUCGUAAAGCUCUGUUGUUAGGGAAGAACAAGUGCAAGAGUAACUGCUUGCACCUUUUCGGUACCUAACCAGAAAGCCACGGCUAACUACGUGCCAGAAGCCGCGGUAAUACGUAGGUGGCAAGCGUUGUCCGGAAUUAUUGGGCGUAAAGGGCUCGCAGGCGGUUUCUUAAGUCUGAUGUGAAAGCCCCCGGCUCAACCGGGGAGGGUCAUUGGAAACUGGGAAACUUGAGUGCAGAAGAGGAGAGUGGAAUUCCACGUGUAGCGGUGAAAUGCGUAGAGAUGUGGAGGAACACCAGUGGCGAAGGCGACUCUCUGGUCUGUAACUGACGCUGAGGAGCGAAAGCGUGGGGAGCGAACAGGAUUAGAUACCCUGGUAGUCCACGCCGUAAACGAUGAGUGCUAAGUGUUAGGGGGUUUCCGCCCCUUAGUGCUGCAGCUAAAACAUUAAGCACUCCGCCUGGGGAGUACGGUCGCAAGACUGAAACUCAAAGGAAUUGACGGGGGGGGGCACAAGCGGUGGAGCAUGUGGUUUAAUUCGAAGCAACGCGAAGAACCUUACCAGGUCUUGACAUCCUCUGACAACCCUAGAGAUAGGGCUUUCCCUUCGGGGACAGAGUGACAGGUGGUGCAUGGUUGUCGUCAGCUCGUGUCGUGAGAUGUUGGGUUAAGUCCCGCAACGAGCGCAACCGGGGAUCUUAGUUGCCAGCAUUCAGUUGGGCACUCUAAGGUGACUGCCGGUGACAAACCGGAGGAAGGUGGGGAUGACGUCAAAUCAUCAUGCCCCUUAUGACCUGGGCUGGGCACGUGCUACAAUGGACAGAACAAAGGGCUGCGAGACCGCAAGGUUUAGCCAAUCCCACAAAUCUGUUCUCAGUUCGGAUCGCAGUCUGCAACUCGACUGCGUGAAGCUGGAAUCGCUAGUAAUCGCGGAUCAGCAUGCCGCGGUGAAUAAAAUCCCGGGCCUUGUACACACCGCCCGUCACACCACGAGAGUUUGCAACACCCGAAGUCGGUGAGGUAACCUUUAUGGAGCCAGCCGCCGAAGGUGGGGCAGAUGAUUGGGGUGAAGUCGUAACAAGGUAGCCGUAUCGGAAGGUGCGGCG
rnacentral:rRNA from 1 species